GUUUUUUGGCCGAGUGGUUAAGGUGAUGGACUGCUAAUCCAUUGUGCUCUGCACGCGUGGGUUCGAAUCCCAUCCUCAUCGUUAGCACCA